rnacentral:misc_RNA from 1 species
UUUAUUUUGAAUCAUUUUAGCAACUGAGGCUCAAUCUUUAUUUUAAUUUAACAAGGAAACAUAAAAUAUACAAAAACCAAGGAUCUUCUAAUCAAAGCAUCAACAGUUAUAUAAUAUGCGGUCAUAAUAAUAUGCGAGCAAACGAAAAUGCUGUUACCCUGUUACUCUUCAUCUUACGCGACGAUACAUCGCUCGAUGAUGGUGUUAAUCGUCCCAUUAAUAAAAACUAACGACCGUCGUAUUUACAGUUUCGUGCGUGUAUCUUGCGCGCCUUCGGAAACACAAAGGGGAAAGCAAUUCGCAGCAGCCGCGUUUGGCGCGACGACUGCUACGCUGCCGAUGAAUUUCGCGUUACACGCAAUCAACCGCUGGAAGGUUAAUUAAUGAUCAGACAUGCUUGGCCAGUACUUGACGGGGCUUCAUACACAUCGGCGCGGUGCGGCGCGGUGCGGCGUCUUGGUACUUUAUAAC